UAUGACAUUGUGUGUGUGUUCUCUUCCGGGAAGCUCGAGCUGUAGCCAGCAAAUAUGGCACCAGGCGCAACUCCCGUGACGGAGUCAGAAAAAGACCUUAAAAUGUUUAAAUCUAAAGAAGUUUCGAUAUCUUUACCGAAACACUCCUACUGGUAUGACUUUUGGAUGUUCGUGCUCUUUGACAUCGUAUUUUUCCUCAUCAUGUAUUUCAUAGUCCCGUAGAAAGGGUUGUCUCCUGGACUCUGGAGUCUGAAGACAUGGAGUGUUGGUCCUGCCCUGCUGUUAGGAAUGCUAACCCAGCUUCGACUGAAUUUAACACCACUUUAUUGGAUAUCACAUCCCACGUUUCUGUGCCUUAGACCAUGGAACUGCUUCACACACAUGUGGCAUCCUGCUUUGACAUCAAAGUCCCACAGAGCUCCUACCGUCUGUGACCUGUUGCUGUGGACUGUCUUUUUGCAGGGAUGCAUUCACGUUGUUGCCGUGGGAAGGAGAUAAACUAUAUAAUUCUUUUUUUUAUUAAAAGUGACAAUGGCCAUCUUAUGAUCCAGUGUGGGGGCUGUGAAGUGGAGAAACAAGAUUUUACUUGCACACCAUAUAUUAUAUUGUGGAAUUUAAUUCCAGCACAUUAAAAUGUUGAAAGUUUGCACAUGGUAAAUAAAAUGUUUUACCUACCUUCUAAA